rnacentral:tRNA from 1 species
GAGGGUAUAGCUCAAAUGGUAGAGCACAUGCCUAGCAUGCAUGAGGCCAUGGGUUCAAUUCCUAGUACCUCCU